rnacentral:rRNA from 1 species
UAAUUAACUGAAAAAAAGUAAGAAUUGAAAUCUGUACCUUGUGUAUCAGGGAGAAUUAAAAUAGUCUUUUUAUAGAGAGAAAUCCCGAAAAAAGAAGAGUUAAUAUGAAAUAAAGUUUUUCGUUUUAAAGAGAUUUUUAAUUUUAUAUUAGUGAUGAAAUUCAGUCGUUUCUUUAUAUCUGGUUACUAACGAAUUAAAUUUAAUUUAAUUGC